CCUGCUUCAAUUCUAGAUUUUGGUAUUCUGGUUUGUAAAAUUUUGUAUGCACAAGAAAAUAUUUUUGUGUGUGUGGGUACAUGAUGUGUCCUAUGAAUACAUGGUCCUGCAAUAGGACCCAUGCCUGUUUUGGGUUUGUAGAAUUUUUUGCAUGCAGAGAAAUACAUACUCCAGUCUAUUUUACAGUGAAUGACAUGAUCACUGAUGAAUCCUCUCUCUAUUUGUGUGUUCUGUAUUCAUGUUGGCAAUAAAAAUGAAUUGGAAGUUUCAGAAACAAUUAAGCAAGUGCAAAACUACAUGUUGGAUGCAUGUAAUCCACAAACUUUUCUACUAGCAUUAUCAAAAGCAUUUUAAUAAAUUUUUGCAGACAUUUAAAUACUAUUCAGAUAGCAUUUUAAGUGUUGAGUUCAAGAAACUUUUUAACAUUUUCAUACGUCUCAUGUGAUAGAUUAUCCUUUUUGUCUGGAACCAAGUCUGUUACAUCAUUACUAACAUAGGAUAAAUAAAUUAGGUUCCAAUAGAUGAAUAAGCAUAUGCCCUUUUCUGAGUCAAAAGUUCCUCGCUUUUCACAGUCUACACACGGUGACUGAUCUGUGGCUUUAUUGCCGGUGAGUCCUCUCUCAAUCCAUCCUCAACACCUCUGGAAUUUGCCGGAUUUCGCAUGUAGUUGGUGAGGGGAAGGAAUUAACUGGAGAAUGAGUCACAAGAGACAAAGGGGUAGGGAAUCGUCCUUAUGAUUUGCAUUCAAGGAGUCGUAGGAGACAAAAGAAACUAGUAGGUGGUAUCAGUUCAUUGAACUUGUGCUCAAGGAAUCAGGCAAGGGAAGAGAAAGUAGCCCCUGGACAGC